rnacentral:lncRNA from 1 species
GUACAAAUGUCAUAUUAUUAACUGUAGGUACGUUUAUCUCUUACUUGUUGUUUGCAAUUGUUUUUAUUUUAUUUUAAUCUGGCAUCAUAUAAUUAUGUUGCAGAUCAAACACCUGAGUACUUCUGGAGGAGAUACGGUAAAGCAGAGUGUAAGAAGGAUUAUGGGCACAAUCCUGGAAACUGUAUUGCCAUGAAAUUGAAUUGGCUAGGGAGAGGGGACAAGACUGUUUUUUUCCCGUAUGAUCCUUAAAGAUGUUUUAAUAAGUAAGUAUUACACUUUAUGGGUUCUUUAUGGCAAAUUAUACCCACAAAUCCUUCUAAUACUAAUGAAUUUCUGACCAUUAGAC